GAACUCCAUGACUAACUUUAGUAUUUAUGGAGGAUUCAUCGUUAACAUGUACAAACUGAGUACGAUCUGAUAAGUAUGACUUAAACCAGGUUAGGGCAGUUCCUUUAAUGCCAAUUUGAUGCUCAAGUCUCUGUAAAAGAAUAUCAUGGUCAAUGGUGUCAAAUGCAGCACUAAGAUCUAAUAAUACAAGUACAGAGACAAGUCCAUUGUCAGAAGCAAUCAGAAGGUCAUUAUUAACUUUAACCAGAGCUGUCUCUGUGCUGUGAUGAACUCUAAAUCCUGACUGAAAAUCCUCAAAUAAACUAUUGUUAUGUAGAAAGUCACACAA